UGUAGUCUGCAACCCGACUACACGAAGCUGGAAUCGCUAGUAAUCGCGAAUCAGAAUGUCGCGGUGAAUACGUUCCCGGGUCUUGUACACACCGCCCGUCACACCAUGGGAGUCGGGAAUGCCCGAAGUCAGUGACCCAACCUAUUGGAGGGAGCUGCCGAAGGCAGGUCUGAUAACUGGGGUGAAGUCGUAACAAGGUACC
rnacentral:rRNA from 1 species